AUGGAGGAGAUACGCAUCAGCUCGCCGCAGCCGCGCUCCUGCCCCGUGCCGUGCUGUCUGGAGCUGUUCAUGGCCGCAAGCUUUGGCGAUCACGAGCGGCUACAGCAACUCCUGAGCCCGGGCAUGGCGCUGGCGAGCGCGGAGGCCGGCGACUCCGCAGCACUAGUAGGUACCACCGAGGAGAACUCCUUACUCCAUGUGGUAGCGACCGACGGGGACGGCCAUGGCUACCUGAAGAGCGCAAAGGUAAUCCAUGGCAAGGCCCAUCGGCUGCUGCUCGCGCGCAACAGGCACGGCGACACGCCGCUGCACUGCGCCGCCCGGGCCGGGAACAGGCACAUGAUUUCUUGCCUGAUCGAGCUCGCCGCCGGCGACGGGAUGGCCAGGGCCAUGGUGGGGGUGCAAAACGAGGAUGGGAGGACGGCGUUGCAUGAAGUGAUCGGCUCCGACGACAUGCAGAUGGUCCAGGCUUUGAUGGCGCACGACAAGGAGCUGGCCCGAGUGGAUGCGUCCGAUGGGACAUCGCCUCUGUUCCUUGCCAUCUCGCUGGGUCAUCACCGGAUUGCUCGCUGGCUUCACGAGUUUGACAAAGAGUUAUCCUAUUCUGGCAACCACGGACAAAAUGCCUUACAUGCCGCUGUUCUUCACGACAAAAGGAUGGCGAAGGAGUUGCUACGUGUGUGGACCAAGGAAAACAAAGAAAAAAUAACGAGGCUAGUCGAACAACGGGACCAUUGUGGUAGUAUGCCAGUGCAUAUGGCUGCAUCAGCGGAAGAUCCUACUCUGGAGUUUUUCCUUUUUGCUUUUGUCGACAGGAGCCUCGAAAUCAAAUCCUUCAGCUUCUACUAUGAUGUUGCACCAUCCAAGUUGUUAUACAAGUUUUAUGCUUGGAAGAAACACCCAAUAUACCUACUGGCCGAUGCGCAUCCAUCUUCGGCAUUUCAGCCGGACAAGAAAGGGUAUUUUCCAGUGCAUGUGGCUGCCUUGGCAGGCAGCUUGGUGCCUAUCAUCAUCUUGCUCUGGCACUGCUCUCCAGCCUGCGCCAGAUUGCGUGAUUCCAAGGGGAGGACCUUCCUUCAUGUCGCUGUUGAUCUUAAGAGGCUUAACGUCGUUAGAUUUGUAUGCAACAGGUCGUCAGAAUUUAAGUCAAUCCUGAACAUACAGGACAAUGAUGGUAACACUGCCCUGCACCUAGCUGUCUAUGGAGGGGAUUGGGAUAUAUUCAAAACUCUCAUCUGGAACCGACAUGUCGUCUUAAAUUUAUCAAACAAGAAAGGAGAAACUCCCAUGGAUAUUGCCGAGAAAAAUGCUCCUUCAGAUUCUGGAUUUAAUUUCGGAAUGCAUGCACGGCGUAGGAUACUUGGUUCUCUAACCUUUGUAAACGCUCAGAAUGGCAACAGCAGGCGCGACGAACGUGUCGUCACGGAAGAUAAAUUUGUGGAGAAGGUCGAGGACCAGAAAAUAACAAGCUUCGCAAAGAUUGUGGGGAUUGGAUCUGUGCUCGUGGCCACGGCGACGUUCGCCGCAGCCUUCGUCAUGCCUGACAAAGACCAAGCAUCGCGUUCGUAUGCUUUCAACGGGUUCGUCAUAUCUAACACCUUGGCAUUUAUCUGCUCGGCUUUGGCCACAUUCAGUCUCAUCUAUACUGGGGUAGCUGCACUCGACAUAAAGAAGCGGAUAGAGCUGGUGUCCUUCUCUCUCGCACUGCUCAUCGGUGCCGCGAGAAGCUUCUGUGCCGCCUUCGCCUUCGCGUUGUACGUGGAGCUUAACCAAGUGAAUCACAUGACUGCUAUAGUCUCCUGCACCAUGACAGCCGUUGCGUUGCUCGAUGCCCUUUGGUUCAUGAGGGCGAUACUGAUCGAUACAACACUGGUUCUGAAGAGGGCCAAGCUGAAAAGUAACACUGGAUGGAGAUCAGUGGCCGGGCGAUUGCUCAGACUGGGGACUAGAUUCUUAGCCAACAUUGCCUAUCUCUUCUGGCCCUACAUCGUAAUCUUCAGCCUUUUGGAAAGUACUAGGAAUAUUAUUGGACUACACCAUAAGCUGGGCUAA
rnacentral:rRNA from 1 species